GAUCCUGGCUCAGGAUGAACGCUAGCGGCAGGCCUAACACAUGCAAGUCGAGGGGCAUCGGGAUUGAAGCUUGCUUCAAUUGCCGGCGACCAGCGCACGGGUGCGUAACGCGUAUGUAACCUACCCAUAACAGGGGCAUAACACUGAGAAAUUGGUACUAAUUCCCCAUAAUAUUCGGAGAGGCAUCUCUCCGGGUUGAAAACUCCGGUGGUUAUAGAUGGACAUGCGUUGUAUUAG
rnacentral:rRNA from 1 species